UUGUCCAUCAUUCAGUUGGGCACUCUAGCGAGACUGCCGGUAAUAAACCGGAGGAAGGUGGGGAUGACGUCAAAUCAUCAUGCCCCUUAUGACCUGGGCUACACACGUGCUACAAUGGUUGGUACAACGAGUUGCGAGUCGGUGACGGCGAGCUAAUCUCUUAAAGCCAAUCUCAGUUCGGAUUGUAGGCUGCAACUCGCCUACAUGAAGUCGGAAUCGCUAGUAAUCGUGGACUCAGCACGCCGCGGUCGAAUCGUCCGGCCUU
rnacentral:rRNA from 1 species